UUCUGCUCGGACUGACUGAACACUUGUUGUCUGUUAGGGAAAGGCAUUCAGAGCCAGAGCUCUGUAUUGCACAUUCAAUCUUGGUGUAAUAAAGACUCUUUUUAACCUGAAUAGAAUUAUCCUGACUACUCCAUCAAAAGAACCGGAGGAAACAGCCUAACGCAUUGUUUUAUUCUUUUAUGAUUAAUUUCAGAAUAGGCUGAUUUCCAACAAUUUGGUGCCGUGACCCGGAUGGAGAAGGACAUCUGAAAUUCUACAACUACUUUAACUGGACACCGGACAGCUGGAGAAUUUUUGACAACACAAGUGGCUACAACGAAAGGAGGCAUUCUCAAAACAGGUGGAGGAACAGAGAGGAGAGCAGAAGGAGAGGACUGAGCCCCAUUUGGCCGAGUGGCUCCUGAUGGAUCAGUAACCAGAGCACUGGCUGGCCUGAGGUCGCUCUCCAAUGAGCUGAAGGAGCAUUCUGGCAUCUCUGACCCACUCACUGACUGGCUGGACUCAUGCUUUGGUAGAUGGAGUGGUUUCAUGAAAAGUUUUGUUAUUGGAGCUAUGAUUGCUAUUGCUUUGCUUCUUUGCAUUGGCUGUUGUAUACCCUGUGCUAGAUCUCUUUGCACUCGGAUGAUCCACACUGCUCUAGGUCCUCUUCCACCGUCCUCUGGGAUGCAGAUGCCGCUGUUGCUGCAGGGUCAUAAACCCAAUGAAGAAGACGUGGACACUGAUGAGGAGCAUGUUGGUUUAGCCUUGACUAGCAUUUAGGUGUUGGCCUAAGAACAGCUUAGGCCAAAAGGGGGAAUUGUGGGAAUAUAUACUCAUUAAUGUUUGAUAAUGUUGGAUGCUUACUGCUAAAUUGCUUAUAAUAGUUAAUCAGAAAGAUGUAUUUGCUAAACAGAUAUACAAUGCUUAUUAUACUGAGUGACACUGAUUCAUUUCUAAACAUGGAGUGCCCUUGACAUUUUUUCAAACAGCAGUAGAAAAGUAGCUUUUGUUGCUGUGCAGAGUAUCCUUGUUUUACAGGAAAACAGAAGAAGAACCAAGGCCACGGGAGCGAGUCAGCAGCACAUCAGAGAAGGGAGGAACCGGAACUCGCCCAGCGGCCUGCGCAUCAACGCUUAGAUAGUCACACAACUCUGUUAGAUUAUAAAAUACUGGGUCAGGGAGAAAUAGCCAGUCUGAUUCUGCUCGAACUGACUGAACACUUGUUGUCUGUUAGGGAAAGGCAUUCGGACCCAGAGCUCUGUAUUGCACAUUCAAUCUUGGUGAAAUAAAGACUCUU